AAAGACAAUAAAAAACAUAAUGUUUCGUUCAAAUGUUGAAUUCGUGUGAAAAGCGAGAUAUCGCCCCUCGCGUGCUGUCCGUCUGUUGGACCUCGUACGUCCGAGGUCCGAGCCGAUGAGAAAGCGAGACAGGGCGUGAAGUGUGUCUAAAGGGGGAUACAAAUGCGAGUAACCAAAAAAACUUAGGGGGCAGGAGUAGCACUGACGUCAGUACCACACAGGACACGGAGAAACAAUACUGUACGAAAUAAUGAACCUUCGCCUGAAGUUUAAUUGAAAUGACGGAUACACGCCA